rnacentral:rRNA from 1 species
CCUACGGGAGGCAGCAGUGAGGAAUAUUGGUCAAUGGUCGUAAGCCUGAACCAGCCAAGUAGCGUGCAGGAUGACGGCCCUAUGGGUUGUAAACUGCUUUUAUGGGGGGAUAAAUUGCGGCACGUGUGCUGUUUUGUAUGUACCGCAUGAAUAAGGACCGGCUAAUUCCGUGCCAGCAGCCGCGGUAAUCCGGAGGUUCCGGGCGUUAUCCGGAUUUAUUGGGUUGAAAGGGAGCGUAGACGGAUUGUUAAGUCUGCAGUGAAAUGCCGGGGCUCAACCGUGGAACUGCGGUGCAAACUGGCAUGCUUGAGUGCAGGGAAGGUAGGCGGAAUUCGUGGUGUAGCGGUGAAAUGCUUAGAUAUCACGAAGAACUCCGAUGGCGAAGGCAGCUUACGGCAGCGCAACUGACGCUGAGGCUCGAAGGCGUGGGUAUCAAACAGGAUUAGAUACCCUAGUAGUC